rnacentral:rRNA from 1 species
AGGACGAACGCUGGCGGCGUGCUUAACACAUGCAAGUCGAGCGGAAAGGCCCUUCGGGGUACUCGAGCGGCGAACGGGUGAGUAACACGUGAGUAAUCUGCCCCUAGCUCUGGGAUAGCUCCGGGAAACCGGGAUUAAUACUGGAUACGACCACCUUAGACAUCUUUUGUGGUGGAAAGAAUUUCGGCUAGGGAUAAGCUCGCGGCCUAUCAGCUUGUUGGUGGGGUAACGGCCUACCAAGGCGACGACGGGUA